CACGUAGGGUGCGAGCGUUGUCCGGAAUUAUUGGGCGUAAAGAGCUCGUAGGCGGUGUGUCGCGUCGGCCGUGAAAACCUGCAGCUUAACUGUGGGCUUGCGGUCGAUACGGGCAUCACUGGAGUUCGGCAGGGGAGACUGGAAUUCCUGGUGUAGCGGUGAAAUGCGCAGAUAUCAGGAGGAACACCGGUGGCGAAGGCGGGUCUCUGGGCCGAUACUGACGCUGAGGCGCGAAAGCGUGGGGAGCGAACAGG
rnacentral:rRNA from 1 species